CUCUUCCUGCUAUUUCGGUGACUCGGCCUAAUAGAUCUUCGUUUUCUACGGUAAUUCAAAACCUAUGCUAAUUAUUGUGCUGUUUUUUGAUCUGGUGUGGCCUGGUUUUGAUGUUAUGCGAUUGAAUUAUUUGGAAAUGGACUUUUCUUGAUAUCUUUUUGUUCAAUUUAGGCGGUGUUGUUUUGAGAUCUGAACUGUGGCUACUUUAUUGUGUUUCGAGUUCGUUUAUGAUUGUAUUAGAGUGAUAGCUUCUCUUCGGCUGAAAACCUAGUGGAUUAUUUUGAUGAUAAUAGAUAUUGCAUUGUUGCCUACCUAAUGGUCCUGUCUCUUUCUAAAAUUUGCCUGAGGGCAUCAGGAUAGGGCCUUAAUAGAUUCAUGCUUUCUUAUUUUUUUCUCCUUGACACAAUUUAGCACUGAGAGGAAAUAUGCCAAAGAUGCCAAUUUAGUUGUGUAUAUGAGUUGGUAAUUAUAAUUGACUGGCCCAGGUUGGUGCCCUUCACGCCCCAGCUUUCUCAUUAAAUUAAUGUUUUUUACAUAGUAAUUAUAUAUACACUUAUCAGAUAUUAUUUUAGAAUUCUCGUAACAUUAAAAAAAUAAAAUAUAAAUAUAAAAAAAGGUGCUAGCUUUGUUAUGAGUGUGUAGAGUAAUUGUUUGGUGAUUGGGUGUGCUAUUUUUUUAGUGUGAGAAAUGGUAUUGUUAUCAAUUUUAUAUUUAUAUACAUUUUGUGAUAUGUUAUGUUGUAAUUUUAAAAACUACAUUGCAAAAAAUGAAAAUUGCAUUGCAAAAAACGGAAACUAUAAUGCAUAAAACAGAAACUGUAAUGCAGAAAACAAAAAAUGAGGGAUUUAUUAGAUUUUAUAUUUUAGAUUGAUCAUUGUAUAAUUCUAGAGCUGAUCAUGAGGGAUUUAUUAGAUUUUAGAUUGAUCAUUGACACAAAAUCAAGUUCUCGGAGACGAAUGGCGAUCUUCAAUGACACAAAAUCUUCUUCUUUUUUCGGAAACUGCAUUGCAAACAAUAGAAAUUGCAUUGCAGAAAACAGAAACUGCAUUGCGAAGAACAUGAACUGCAUUGCAGAAAACAGAAACUGUAAUGCAAAAAACAAAACAUGCAACCUAUUUUACGUUCUAGGUGGUCUUCAGUCCGAUUCCCCCUCUCCAAACAUGGUCUGCAAUUUUUGUUUAGUGCUGUUUUGUUUUGUUUUGUUUAUUUUGUUACUAUUAUAGUUAUGUUUUUAUUAGAUUGUAGAUUGAUCAUUGUUAUUAAAAUACACAAUGCAUUGUAGUUUUUAUUUCUAUAGAAGUGGUUUUUGUUUUUGUUACAGCCUAUGUUUUUUUGUUACAGUUUUUGUUUUUGUUUGCAAUUUCUAUUGUUAUUUACAUUUUUUGUUUUUGUUUACAUUAUCGAUAUCUACACUAUUUUGUUUUGUAUAACUCUAGAGCUAAGCAUGAGGGAUUUGGUACAAAGUUUGCACGUAUCGAUGUUGAAAUAAUUUAUUUUAUAUAAAAAAAAAUCAUUGAUUGUUAAUGAAAAUAUUGCGUAACUGACAAAAUAUCACAAAAACAAGGUUGGUUUAGUGGUUUGUGAAUGAGGCUACCCUCCUUUGAGGGUCAAGGUUUACGUCUCUUCAAGCACAUUGAAUUUCUUAUUUUUUUUAGGUUGAGGGCAACAUUAUUGGUGACCGGCAAGGGACGGCGAUGACUGGCUGGUAGCCAGCGAGGGACACGAUGGCUAGCCGGGAGGGGGAUUGUUGAUAGUGGACAUGUGGCAUAGUGUUCUUGCCUUAGAAUGAGUGGCAUUAUGUGUAAUUUUGAUAUUUUUUAAUUACAUUAUUGUGAAAUUAGGUAUUAUUUUUUGUUUAAAAUGAAAUAGUUAAAUUUGGCAUAAUGGCAUCUUUGUGUAAUUUUGAGGUUUUUCAAUGCAUGAUUGUAAAGUUACAUCCUAUUUUUUAGUCAUUGGUCUUUUGCUAAU
rnacentral:lncRNA from 1 species